rnacentral:rRNA from 1 species
CGCCACGGGGAAUACCCCGCUCCCCCGAGUGGUGGGGGAUUUUUUACUGAGCUUAAAAGCGCCCGUAGCCGGUUAUGCGUGUCUCCAGUCAAAUCCAGCAGCCUAACUGCUGGGCCGCUGGAGAUACUGCAUGACUUGGAGGCGGGAGAGGCCACCGGUAGUCCCGGGGUAGGAGUGAAAUCCACUGAUCCCGGGAGGACCUGCAGUGGCGAAGGC